ACCCCCCUUAUUUUUAAGCUGCUUUAAGAACAAUGAAUUUAUUUGAAAGAAAAAAAGUAAAAAUGCAUUUAAACAUUUUUUUAAGAGAGUGUUUUUUUUUUUAAAGUAUAACUAUUUGGAUGAAUUGCAAAAAAGCACCCUUAUUGAACUCGGAGUGCGAGUUGAGCCCAUCCUCACAACAUCAAACAAAAAGUAGAAGAAGAAACUCAACGAAUAGCUGGUGGAUUGUAGAACUUUCUGUAAAUGCAGCAGGUGUCAUUUUGUUUUAUCAACGGAUGGAGAUGGAUUACGAACUUGCAAGUCCUGGUGUGCUCUGUUCACUUUCAACCGAGGAACUCUUAACAAAAAUACAAGAGUGGGGCUUAGAUGUCACCGAAGCUGAAGCUCAGCGUUUCAGAGGAUCCUUCAAAAAGCAGGUUAAAUUCAACCAAUUUGUGUCAAGGAUGAAGGAAUCUUCAGUGACGCUGACUCUACAGACUGUCUCUCCAGAAGACUGGCAACCAUCUACUUCGUCAACUUCAAUAAGCAAUGAAAAUACUUUGAGACUGCCAGCCUCUUUUGAAAUUCCAAGAUUUCCCAAAAAUCUGCAACUAAAACUGGACAACAAAGAACCGUGCCAUAAAAAUCCAAGGGACAGACACACAAUAAUCAGAGUUCUAUAUGAAGCUGUGGCACAGUAUACUAUGUAUCCCACAAAUUCUGAAUAUGUGCAAGCUGUGAAGAUGCUGGUAAUGAAGUAUCCUUUCCUCAAGCAUCGUGAGGGAAAUGGUUAUGGACCAUGCGUCCAAGGAGAGGAUUUAUUAUCCAUAGACGCCCACUUAAAGGUCUUACAGUGCCAAUGUCAGAAGAUGCAACCAGAUACCAUGGUGGUUCAUAACCGUAUGCAGCAAACGUUUGCUUGGCGGCAAAAAGAAAUUGCAGAUGGUAUGCCUGUGGAGGAUGUGUACCCCUUCUUAGGGAUGCCUACUGGUCUGUGCAACGAACUCGGGUGGAUCCAACCAACAACGGGUAAUGUAAGCCAGCGAUUUCGUGAAGGGCUCUCAUGUGUUGCAGCAAAGGUGAUUGACCUUACACGAGGGAAAACCCCACUCUACCAGCUCUACCUUGAUGCAAGAGAGGAGGCUCUCACUGAUGACCUACCAGAUCUUGACACAAGGGCUGCACUUUUAUUCCUGCCAUACGUCUUCAAGGAGAAACUGGAUCUCUUUGUCAUACUUGGAGAGGUUCAUCCUAAAACCCCCUAUCCAACUGUUCAGCUACUUCAUGAAGACUGGAAACCAGUGUUCUCCAGAAGCGCUCCAAACAUUGUGAAGUUGGAUGGCAGUGAAGUGUGCAGAACCUCGUGUAUUUUUGAAGGAAUCAUCUCUUCUUUCUGCUUGUAUUUUGUCUUCAACCUUGCUUACCCAAAACAUCUGAAGAACACCCUGAUUUUUCUCCAAAAGUACAUUGUGAAAAUAGAUGAGGAUCAGAGAUGGAGAAGGCCUUACCAGUGCAGCUGCUGGAAAUGUUGAACAAUUUGGGAGAGGAGGAGCUGAAGCUUUUCCACUUUUACCUGAAGUAUGAACCUGGAGGAAGUCCCUCAGCCCAGGCAGCUUCAU
ensembl:lncRNA